UGGGGAAUAUUGCACAAUGGGCGCAAGCCUGAUGCAGCCAUGCCGCGUGUAUGAAGAAGGCCUUCGGGCUGUAAAGUACUUUCAGCGGGGAGGAAGGGAGUAAAGUUAAUACCUCUGCUCAUUGACGUUACCCGCAGAAGAAGCACCGUCUAACUCCGUGCCAGCAGCCGCGGUAAUACGGAGGGUGCAAGCGUUAAUCGGAAUUACAGGGCGUAAAGCGCACGCAGGCGGUUUGUUAAGUCAGAUGUGAAAUCCCCGGGCUCAACCUGGGAACUGCAUCUGAUACUGGCAAGCUUGAGUCUCGUAGAGGGGGGUAGAAUUCCAGGUGUAGCGGUGAAAUGCGUAGAGAUCUGGAGGAAUACCGGUGGCGAAGGCGGCCCCCUGGACGAAGACUGACGCUCAGGUGCGAAAGCGUGGGGAGCAAACA
rnacentral:rRNA from 1 species